GGACAAGUAGCUCCAAUGGUAGAGCAGUGGUUUGAAGCACCGCCUGUACAGGUUCGAUUCCUGUCUUGUCCGCCA
rnacentral:tRNA from 1 species